AGCAGCCGCGGUAAUUCCAGCUCCAAUAGCGUAUAUUAAAGUUGUUGCAGUUAAAAAGCUCGUAGUUGAACUUCAGGCCUGGCUGGGCGGUCCGCCUCACGGCGUGUACUGUCUGGCUGGGUCUUACCUCUUGGUGAGCCGGCGUGGCCUUUAUUGGUUGCGUCGGGGAACCAGGACUUUCACCUUGAGAAAAUUAGAGUGUUCAAAGCAGGCCUACGUCUGAAUACAUUAGCAUGGAAUAAUAAAAUAGGAUGUGCGGUUCUAUUUUGUUGGUUUCUAGAGUCGCCGUAAUGAUUAAUAGGGAUAGUUGGGGGCAUUGGUAUUGAGUCGCUAGAGGUGAAAUUCUUGGAUUGACUCAAGACCAACUAUUGCGAAAGCAUUUGCCAAGGAUGUUUUCAUUAAUCAAGAACGAAGGUUAGGGGAUCGAAA
rnacentral:rRNA from 1 species